ACCCUCUGGCCUGCGAGAAGGCGAGGGCAAGUAGCGGGGCCGUUGCUCCCUUGGGAUCCGGGUGUGGCUCGGCUCAGGUAACGCCCGGCCCUAGGACUCCUUCGGCCUCCGCCCACGGGGAGUGCUGAGACUGCCGGCCGGUGUGCUGGCGACCUUUACCCAGGCUUGGUCAAGGCUUCCUGACUGGCGCAACUGCACUGGCCUCACAGUGGACGCCUGCUGGUGACCUUUACUCUGUUAAACCAUCUUCCUGCUCUCCCAGUGAGAGCCUCAAAGCUGGGGAAGAUGUACAGUGUUAAUGCAUGCAUAUUUCACAAUGAAUGAAGAGCAGAAACCCAAAAUUUUAACUCAGUGAAUGGAUGAACUGGGAGAUGUCUGACUCGACUUAGAAUUUCUGAAGCAUGCACACUAUGGCUAAGUUUCAGACUGAAAAGCCAGAAAAAACAGGUAGAAGUUACAAGAAAGAAAAAGUUUUUUUAGAAACACCACAAAGAAAAUGAUCAACAAUCAAGAACAGACAAAAGCAGAAUGGAUUGGCUGUGUGGAAGGUUUUUGUUUUAUGAGUGUGUGUAUAUGCAUGACUGUAUGUAUGGUACACGUGUGUGCAGUUGCCCUAGGAGGCCAGGAGAGGGCACUGCAUCUUCAGGAACUGGAAUUACUGGUGGUUGCAAGCUGCCUAAUGUAGGAUAUGGGAGCCAGACUCACAUCUUGAGAACCAAACUUGCGUCCUUAGGAAGAACAGCAAGUGCUCUUAACAGAUGAAGUAUCUUUCCAGCCCUACUUUGGAAGUGUUUAAACUGAGAUAAGGUGGCUUUCUGUCUUAAUACCCUAAGAAUAAAGAAAAAAGUUUGUUGUAUGUGUUUCUACGC
ensembl:antisense 5430402O13Rik RIKEN cDNA 5430402O13 gene